rnacentral:rRNA from 1 species
CGGGGGGAGUGGCGGACGGGUGAGUAACGCGUGGGAACCUGCCCUGGAGUGGGGAACAACCGCUGGAAACGGCGGCUAAUACCGCAUACGCCCGAAAGGGGAAAGCCUUGUGCGCUCCAGGAUGGGCCCGCGUCCGAUUAGCUUGUUGGUGGGGUAACGGCCUACCAAGGCAUCGAUCGGUAGCUGGUCUGAGAGGACGAUCAGCCACACUGGGACUGAGACACGGCCCAGACUCC